rnacentral:rRNA from 1 species
GACGAACGCUGGCGGCGUGCUUAACACAUGCAAGUCGAACGGAAAGGCCCUGCUUUUGUGGGGUGCUCGAGUGGCGAACGCGUGAGUAACACGUGUGUAACCUGCCCUUGUCUUUGGGAUAACUUCAGGAAACUGGGGCUAAUACCGGAUAGGAGCUCCUGCUGCAUGGUGGGGGUUGGAAAGUUUCGGCGGUUGUGGAUGGACUCGCGGCUUAUCAGCUUGUUGGUGGGGUAGUGGCUUACCAAGGCUUUGACGGGUAGCCGGCCUGAGAGGGUGACCGGCGACAUGGGGACUGCGAUACGGACCAGACUCCUACGGGAGGCAGCAGUGGGGAAUAUUGCACAAUGGGCGGAAGCCUGAUGCAGCAACGCCGCGUGCGUGAUGACGGCCUUCGGGUUGUAAACCGCUUUCGCCUGUGACGAAGCGUGAGUGACGGUAAUGGGUAAAGAAGCACCGGCUAACUACGUG